rnacentral:rRNA from 1 species
UGGGGAAUCAUGGUCAAUGGGCGAAAGCCUGAACCUGCGACGCCGCGUGAUUGAUGAAGGUCGUAAGAUCGUAAAACUCUUUUCAGGGAUCUUAAAGCCUGUCUGUCAACAACAGGCAGGUCUGACUCUCCCUGGAAGAAGCCCCAGCCAACUACGUGCCAGCAGCUGCGGUAAUACGUAGGGGGCGAGCGUUAUUCGGAAUUACUGGGUGUAAAGUGUAUGUAGGCGGCCCUUCAAGUCGCGUGUCAAAGUCCAGUGCUCAACGCUGGGUGUGCACGCGAUACUGACGGGCUUGAGGGCUGGAGAGGUGAGCGGAAUUCCCGGUGUAGUGGGAAAAUACGUCGAGAUUGGGAGGAACACCAGCGGCGCAGGCGGCUCACUAGACAGUUUCUGACGCUAAGAUACGAAAGAGUGGGGAGCAAACA